UGGGGAAUAUUGCACAAUGGGGGAAACCCUGAUGCAGCCAUGCCGCGUGUGUGAAGAAGGCCUUCGGGUUGUAAAGCACUUUCAGUGGUGAGGAAGGCUAUCGUGUUAAUAGCACGGUAGAUUGACGUUAGCCACAGAAGAAGCACCGGCUAACUCCGUGCCAGCAGCCGCGGUAAUACGGAGGGUGCGAGCGUUAAUCGGAAUUACUGGGCGUAAAGCGUACGUAGGCGGCUCAUUAAGCAAGAUGUGAAAGCCCCGGGCUCAACCUGGGAAUGGCAUUUUGAACUGGUGAGCUCGAGUUUUGAAGAGGGUGGUAGAAUUUCCAGUGUAGCGGUGAAAUGCGUAGAUAUUGGAAGGAAUACCAGUGGCGAAGGCGGCCACCUGGUCAAGAACUGACGCUGAGGUACGAAAGCGUGGGGAGCAAACAGGAUUAGAUACCCUGGUAGUCCACGCCGUAAACGAUGUCAACUAGUUGUUCGUUUCAUAAACGAAGUGAGUAACGCAGCUAACGCACUAAGUUGACCGCCUGGGGAGUACGGCCGCAAGGUUA
rnacentral:rRNA from 1 species